UCCUCGGUACCUAUGUUGAU
rnacentral:miRNA from 1 species